UACCGAUAAUAGCAAAGCCGGCCAAAGCCGGCGGCGCAAAGCUGUGACCCGUUAUGUUGCCGGGCGUCAGGCUGCCGAA
rfam:Elusimicrobia bacterium GWB2_63_22 gwb2_scaffold_104, whole genome shotgun sequence.